rnacentral:rRNA from 1 species
GCCGGCGGCACUAGCGCGGUGGUCCCACCUGACCCCAUGCCGAACUCAGAAGUGAAACGCCGUAGCGCCGAUGGUAGUGUGGGGUCUCCCCAUGCGAGAGUAGGGAACUGCCAGGC